UUCGCCCUUUUCCGGUUGAUCCUGCCGGAGGCUACUGCUAUUGGAAUUCGACUAAGCCAUGCGAGUCAAGGUGUCUUCGGACGCCGGCAAACGGCUCAGUAACACGUAGGUAAUCUACCCUCAGGACUGAGAUAACCCCGGGAAACUGGGGCUAAUACCAGAUAGAUAAAAGAUACUGGAAUGUUCUUUUAUCCAAAGCUUUUGUGCCUGAGGAUGAGCCUGCGCCCGAUUAGGUAGUUGGUGGGGUAAUGGCCCACCAAGCCUGCGAUCGGUACGGGCAGUGGGAGCUGUAGCCCGGAGUUGGGGACUGAGACAAGGCCCCAGGCCCUACGGGGCGCAGCAGGCGCGAAACCUCUGCAAUGCGGGAAACCGUGACAGGGGGAUUCCAAGUGCUCAUGCAUUGCAUGGGCUGUUCUUUGGUCUAAGUAACCAGAGGAGUAAGGGCUGGGCAAGACCGGUGCCAGCCGCCGCGGUAAUACCGGCAGCUCGAGUGGUAGCCGCGAUUAUUGGGCCUAAAACGUUCGUAGCCGGAUAAGUAAGUCUUUGGUUAAAUCCUACGACUUAACCGUGGGAAAUCUAGAGAUACUGCUUGUCUUGAGACCGGGAGAGGUUGGAGGUACUCCCAGGGUAGGGGUGAAAUCCUGUAAUCCUGGGGGGACCACCUGUGGCGAAGGCGUCCAACUGGAACGGCUCUGACGGUGAGGGACGAAACCUAGGGGAGCGAGCCGGAUUAGAUACCCGGGUAGUCCUAGGCG
rnacentral:rRNA from 1 species